rnacentral:rRNA from 1 species
CCCUUAGAUGUUCUGGGCCGCACGCGCGCUACACUGAUUCAUGCAACAAGUUUUGUCCUUGGCUGAUAGGCCUGGGUAAUCUUUGAACGUGAAUCGUGAUGGGGAUAGAUGAUUGCAAUUAUUCAUCUUCAACGAGGAAUUCCUAGUAAACGCAAGUCAUCAGCUUGCAUUGAUUACGUCCCUGCCCUUUGUACACACCGCCCGUCGCACCUACCGAUUGAAUGGUCCGGUGAAAUCUUCGGAUCUGAGAGAUGUCUGAUUAAUUUCGGACGCCUUUUGGAAAAGUUGCUUAAACCUUNCNAUUUAANGGAAGGUGAANUCGUANCA